UUCCUUUUUCUUCUACUUCACCGACCAACUAGAAAUCUCCAUGAAUCCAUCAUAAAUACAUCAAAUCUUGUGUUUUUAAUAUCAAACUAACUAAAUUUAAUAACCCUAAUAAUAAAAAUCAUUAUUCUUCGAAGGAACUUAGAGAUUGAAGGUGUUUAUCCAAAUUGUGCCCUAAAAUCCGGAUUUACAAGUCUUGGAGUGUUUUGGUCGUGAUCAUUGUGCUCCCCGCUUACCCGCUUAGUCACCUACUACAAACGCUUAAGGCAAAGGUGAACAGGUUAACCAAAGACGUAUUGGGUGAUGAUUGAUUUAAUUGCAUGCUAGGAUUGGACUUGGACCUUAUCAUGGAUCCGUGAUUCAUAGUUCCCGCUCAUG